CCUACGGGAGGCAGCAGUGGGGAAUAUUGGACAAUGGGGGCAACCCUGAUCCAGCCAUGCCGCGUGUGUGAAGAAGGCCCUCGGGUUGUAAAGCACUUUCAGUGAGGAAGAACGCCUGGUGGUUAAUACCCAUCAGGAAAGACAUCACUCACAGAAGAAGCACCGGCUAACUCCGUGCCAGCAGCCGCGGUAAUACGGAGGGUGCGAGCGUUAAUCGGAAUUACUGGGCGUAAAGCGCGCGUAGGUGGCUUGAUAAGCCGGUUGUGAAAGCCCCGGGCUCAACCUGGGAACGGCAUCCGGAACUGUCGAGCUAGAGUGCAGGAGAGGAAGGUAGAAUUCCCGGUGUAGCGGUGAAAUGCGUAGAGAUCGGGAGGAAUACCAGUGGCGAAGGCGGCCUUCUGGACUGACACUGACACUGAGGUGCGAAAGCGUGGGUAGCAAACAGGAUUAGAUACCCUAGUAGUC
rnacentral:rRNA from 1 species